rnacentral:rRNA from 1 species
GCUCUUUUGUCAGGGAAGAAAAGGGUGCGGCUAAUAUCUGCGCCUCAUGACGGUACCUGAAGAAUAAGCACCGGCUAACUACGUGCCAGCAGCCGCGGUAAUACGUAGGGUGCAAGCGUUAAUCGGAAUUACUGGGCGUAAAGCGUGCGCAGGCGGUUUUGUAAGACUGUCGUGAAAUCCCCGGGCUCAACCUGGGAAUGGCGAUGGUGACUGCAAGGCUAGAGUUUGGCAGAGGGGGGUAGAAUUCCACGUGUAGCAGUGAAAUGCGUAGAUAUGUGGAGGAACACCGAUGGCGAAGGCAGCCCCCUGGGUCAAAACUGACGCUCAUGCACG